GACGAACGCUGGCGGCGUGCCUAACACAUGCAAGUCGAACGGAGCAGUAGUAAUAUUGCUUAGUGGCGGACGGGCGAGUAACGCGUGAGCAAUCUGCCUUAUACUGGGGGAUAACGUCGGGAAACCGGCGCUAAUACCGCAUAACACUACGAGAUCGCAUGGUCAUGUAGUCAAAACUCCGGUGGUAUAAGAUGAGCUCGCGUCCAAUUAGCUAGUUGGUGAGGUAAUGGCCCACCAAGGCGACGAUUGGUAGCCGAACUGAGAGGUUGAUCGGCCGCAUUGGGACUGAGACACGGCCCAGACUCCUACGGGAGGCAGCAGUGGGGAAUAUUGCGCAAUGGAGGAAACUCUGACGCAGCAACGCCGCGUGAAGGAUGAAGGUUUUCGGAUUGUAAACUUCUUUGAUCGGGGACGAAAAUGACGGUACCCGAGGAACAAGCCACGGCUAACUACGUG
rnacentral:rRNA from 1 species